AGUGAACGCUGGCGGUAGGCCUAACACAUGCAAGUCGAACGGCAGCACAGUAAGAGCUUGCUCUUACGGUUGGCGAGUGGCGGACGGGUGAGGAAUACAUCGGAAUCUACUUUUUCGUGGGGGAUAACGUAGGGAAACUUACGCUAAUACCGCAUACGACCUACGGGUGAAAGCAGGGGAUCUUCGGACCUUUCGCGAUUGAAUGAGCCGAUGUCGGAUUAGCUAGUUGGCUGGGUAAAGGCCCACCAAGGCGACGAUCCGUAGCUGGUCUGAGAGGAUGAUCAGCCACACUGGAACUGAGACACGGUCCAGACUCCUACGGGAGGCAGCAGUGGGGAAUAUUGGACAAUGGGCGAAAGCCUGAUCCAGCCAUACCGCGUGGGUGAAGAAGGCCUUCGGGUUGUAAAGCCCUUUUGUUGGGAAAGAAAAGCAGCAGGUUAAUACCCCGAUGUUCUGACGGUACCCAAAGAAUAAGUACCGGCUAACUUCGUG
rnacentral:rRNA from 1 species